CUUGAGGCAGGAGCUGACUUCCAGAAGCUCCUGUACAGUGCCCGCAGUCAUUGGCCCAAUGUCUUUGUCUUGGACUUUGUGCCACGUCUGACUGUUGAUCCUCAGCUACAAGAGUUCAUGCGUCAAGUGUUCCAUCGAGUGGCAGCAAGAAUGGGUAUCAAGUACUUCUCGUCUUCUGGCCACUUCCCUUUGAACAACUUGGACCUGUGGAGCCCAGAUGGUGUUCACUUGAGUGAUGGCGAAGGCAUGGUGGUCCUCACUCGUUUGCUGUGGGCUGCAGCUUACG